rnacentral:snRNA from 1 species
UAAAAGGGUUCGUCGCCAGUGUGGCGGCAGGCCGCAGCCGAAAGGUUGAGGCCUGCGUGAAUGGCAAUCAAGACAUUUGCACAACACAAUUUUUAUGCCCGGGUCGGCCUGGCACCUUUUGCCGGUCUGUCCCU